rnacentral:lncRNA from 1 species
CGUUGCCCUCGGUCAGUGUAAGCGAGGGGCGAGGAGAAAGAGAGGGAAAUACGCACUGGCGGGGGGGGGGGGAGGCNNNNNNGGCCCCCCGUUUGAAGGAGGAAAGGAAAGCAGGGAGCCGAGAGGGAGGGAGCUGCUGAGGAAGAUGGAGGAUAACGGGGGGUGGCCGAGCGAGCGACGUGGGAAUGGGGGAAGCUCAGCCCUCAUCAGCUCCAUGUUAUAUUUAUUAUUGGACGAGGUGAUUGAGAUCAGAACAACUCGCAGUGUCCUGUACUGUCUUCUUGCAAGCAGUCCUGUCAGGAUGAUUUAGAUCCAGCAGAAAACUAUUGUGAGACAGUUUUGAAAAAAAAAUUCUGCACUGACAGAUGUGAAAUUGAAGUCCUGUAAUAUUCUCUGAGAAACACAAUUGGAAUUGGCAGAGAUGGAGUAUUGUGGCUCAUGGCUUUUCUUGAGCAGCCUAGAUGGUUAGUAGCGAAAGCCGGACAUCCUCUCAAUGAGAUGGAAGAUUCUGCAAGAACCUUAAAGACUUGAGAAGAAUUAUCCUGGGAUCAGAAGACGAAGCUGCUUUCCUCUGUAGUAGUGCCGGGGCUAUAGGCAUAUUUUGCCCUGCUUUCCAGCAUAAGGGGAAUUGGACAGGCAGUUGAAAAAAAACACCUAUUCAGGUUUGCCCCCCUGCACUGAUUCUUCAAGGUGGAGUCUUUGAGGGGGGAGGGGGGUGCCAAGAGACCCCCCCUCCCCCAUGAGAGAGAUUUAGACUGGCCAUCCUACAGCUGUGGAAAAGUGCUACCUGCCAGGUGAGAUUUCUUAUCUUGUGAAGCAAUUAGUUAUAAAUCAGUAAUAUAUUACACCAGCCUUAUUACUGGGGUGUGUGUGUUUUGAUAUUAUGAACUGUGUAUUCCCAGUGGUAUGUCUAUAUGGAAUGACUGAAUUAUAUCUUUCUACACAUAAUAGUAGAAUCUGACAAGAGUUGGCAAAAUGUAGAAUGUAUCCUUCUCCCCAUGGCUCCUAGUUAUUGUCCUUUGGCAUCCCAUUUGUCUUCUAUUACAAUAAGGUAAGUUUAAAUGGUUUUCUAGGUAUCUGUUUGGCUUUCAGGCGAGAGGACAAAGUACAGAAGAAGAGAUACCACAUCUAUAAUGUGGCCUGCCAUGAUUUUAUUUGAGCUGAUUUCUCCUACCUAAACUCAAAGCACCAGUGAUUAUGAUAGUAGUAGUUACACAGUGGGUUAAAUUUCAAAGUACUGUAUAGAAUAAUCUCAGUAACUUUCAUAGGGUUGCUGCAACAUGUAUGGAUUGUAUUGCCACUGCUAUUCA